AGUCCCCUGCGGUGUUUGUCAGGAUCACUUUCCUCCUGAGCCGAUACUUCACGAGCCCAGGAACCUUGCUCUGACCAUGGAGUGUAAGCCCGCUUGCCGGGUUUCCAGAAGUGGUUACCCAGGGGUCCGCCUUUGUUAACUGGGUUCAAGAGGAUGUCAUCCAACGGCACAGGCGGGGGAUUC
rnacentral:other from 1 species